GCCCUUCGGGGUGGAUUAGUGGCGAACGGGUGAGUAACACGUGGGCAAUCUGCCCUUCACUCUGGGACAAGCCCUGGAAACGGGGUCUAAUACCGGAUACCACUCCUGCCUGCAUGGGCGGGGGUUGAAAGCUCCGGCGGUGAAGGAUGAGCCCGCGGCCUAUCAGCUUGUUGGUGGGGUAAUGGCCCACCAAGGCGACGACGGGUAGCCGGCCUGAGAGGGCGACCGGCCACACUGGGACUGAGACACGGCCCAGACUCCUACGGGAGGCAGCAGUGGGGAAUAUUGCACAAUGGGCGAAAGCCUGAUGCAGCGACGCCGCGUGAGGGAUGACGGCCUUCGGGUUGUAAACCUCUUUCAGCAGGGAAGAAGCGAAAGUGACGGUACCUGCAGAAGAAGCGCCGGCUAACUACGUGCCAGCAGCCGCGGUAAUACGUAGGGCGCAAGCGUUGUCCGGAAUUAUUGGGCGUAAAGAGCUCGUAGGCGGCUUGUCACGUCGGAUGUGAAAGCCCGAGGCUUAACCUCGGGUCUGCAUUCGAUACGGGCUAGCUAGAGUGUGGUAG
rnacentral:rRNA from 1 species